GUUCCUCGAUCUAGGUUAGUUUUUUUUCUGCACUCGUUAUAUUGCAAACCGUUUCCGCUUAGUUAGAUUUGCUGAUUUUGAUUUUGAUUUUCUCAAGCUAAAUUUCCCCUUAAUAAGAGUCGUUUUGUUUUCCUUAUCUUCGCGAUGAUUAGGCUUUGGUGGUUUUAGAUAACUUGGUGAUCGUCUCUUGAUUUUUGCCUGACCGGUGAUCUGACUUCCUGUUCAAAUUGAUUUUGUUUUGUUUGAUCUCUACCCUCUGAUGAACUAAGAUGAAUGUAUUUAGCCGUGUUAUUAAAACCGGACCCACCCGAUGGUUGAACCGGGUUCGACCAUAAAUCGGUUAAGAUUGGGUCUACUAAUCGGUUUUUCAAGUAGCUGGAUUGGAUCUCAGAAUUAUUAAACUGAUAAAAACCAUUAAAACUAUCAAAAAUCUAUAAAACAUCUAUAUAAACAUAAAACUAAUUUAUAUUAAGAAUAUUUUAUGUUUUAAAUUCAUUUAUAUUUUAGUUAUGUAUCAUAUUUACUAACAUUACUUUUAAAUUUAUACACUAAAAAUAUAUUAAACUAUAUUACUGAACUAGGUUUGAUCCGGUCAAACCAUAUUGAACCGUGACCCAAAAAUUAUCCGUUUUUCAUCUUCUGAUCCGGUUUUUAAAACACUGGUAUUUAGGUUCUAAAAUCAACUUGAGUUCUUUUUUUUUCACUCAAAAUCUAAUGUAGGAUUUGAGCUAAUAGGUGAUUGCAGCUUGUUUGGAAAGUUUUGGAUCCUUAGAUAUUCAUCUUAUGGAAACAUAGAUCAUUGACGAUUAAUUUAAGAUAAAUGAGAUGUGACACGUGUCUUAUUUCUCCAUUAAGAUGUUCGCAAAUCUUUGGUUUCUUGGCAAGCACAUAUAUAAAACAUGUUGAAAAUUAAUUCAUAUACAAUUCAAGGAUGCUUUUCUUUUGCAAGAUCCAAAAAGUAGCAAUGAUGGUGAUGACUUUGUGUUGGUGGAGUUAAAACAUUCUCAUCUCAACUAUGACUGCAUUAAUUGUUUUAAAGGAAUUAUAAACCGAUGACUAAAUAACUCACUUGUAUGUAGUUUAUAAAAGGAAUAUCUCUCUAGAAACCUCUGACUUCUCUCUAGACUCCUUCCGGUGAGAAAAGUGUCUCCGGCCGAUGGAGUGGGCUUUCACAGCCACCGUCGGUCCGGUGUAUAUGUUUUUUUUUUCCUUUUCGUUGCAUGUUCAAAGGAGAGAGAUCAUUGGAUCUCUUUUCUGUUUUUGGUGCCAACUGAUCGGCUUUUUGACUCCGGAACGACGAGGCUCCUUUAGUUCUGUUUGUCGCCGGCUUAUGACUCUGAGGGGUGGUGACUCCUUAAGCAUCGCGUCGCCGGCUUUGGGUUCGAAUUUUCUCUUAUGGGUUUGGGUUUUCUUAUGUCGGCUUUGGUGUGUUGGAUGGAUCUCGAACAGAUCGAUGACGCUCUCCGAUGGUGAAGCCAAAGCGACGUAGAUAACGAUGGAUGCUUUAGAUUCAGUUAAUCAAGUGGUUGGUGGCUCUGGAUGAGAUCCCGACGAUGUUCGAUGGACUCUAUCCGUUGAAAAGAGCACGGCCGUAGAUGAUAGAGGUGGUCUCCGAUGUGAUUCCGGCGAAGGGAUUCGUGGUUUGUCGACGGUGGGAAAGGUGAAGCGGUUAAGUGACACGUGGUUACCUUGCUGGGAGGUUUAAACACGUGUUGUUGUUGAUCGGUUAGUCAUGGGAUUAGUGGGCUAGCCUUUUUGGUCUUUUAGUUAUGUUGUUUCGGUUGGGCCUUGUUUUUUUUUGUCGUUUGGGCUUUGUUGUAAACUUUGUAUAAUUGGACUCUAUCCAUGUUUUAAUAAUAAUACUAGGUGGCAAAAAAAAAAAAAAACUCACUUGCAUGUAAUCAUUUUCAAUACAUCUCCCCGAUACUUAGAACAAAUAAUGUUAAGUAAUUAUCACUUUUUGGUGGGUGCUACAUGCAUGGUCAAACUUUUUCAAUACAUCUCCCAAUCCUUUUUUUCUUUUUUCAAUUGAGAAGAUCUUGGUGGGGUCCUAGUGAUUGUGGACUCCGUGCCUACUUGAAUAAGUCACUGCAGUCUUCACGGGGAAAAGCAAUAUAUCUCAAUCUUAAACAUUUCUCAUGUCUGUAUUAUAGUUUGAUAAAAUGGUUGAUAUAGUGCCACCUGGUUACAGGAUAGUCUUAGACGUUAGAACAAGUACAAGGUGCGUGUGAGAUUCUUGUUACCUAGUCAUGGGGGUUUUCUAGUGUUAUUUAUUUAUUUCACUCACGUGUUUUGUGGGGUUAAUCAACAAACAGUUAGACUUUCAACUAUAUCGAAUUACAACGUAUUUUUAUAGCCACAUGUCAUCACCACAAUCAUUCUUAGAAUCUUUAAAAAAAUAUGUUGGUCCAUAUAAAUAUAUAAUAAACUUUUUAUUAAACUAACCAUAAAUUAAUCAUAAAUAUUUUUCAUUGUUUCAUUAAAUAAAAAUCACGCAAUUACCUAAUAUGGCUAAAGUAUAAAUGACAAUUAAUGAUUUUAAAUAAUAAAGAUUUGAUAAAAAUUACUCUAUUCUCUAUCAUUUUAAAAAAUUUAACUAAUUAAAAUAAAUUAAACAACCACGUUAACUAUAUAAUAAAAAUUUAGAUUUUUUUCGUAUAUGCUAUAUUUUGGUCCAUAUAAAAAUAUAUUGGUCCAUACAAAUAUAUAAUAAACUUUUUAUUAAACUAACCAUAAAUUAAUCAUAAAUGUUUUUCAUUGUUUCCUUAAAUUAAAAUCACGGAAUUACCUAAUAUCGCUAAAGUAUAUAUGACAAUUAAUGAUUUUGAAUAAUAAAGAUUUGAUAAAAAUUACUCUAUUCUCUAUCAUUUUAAAAAAAAUUAACUAAUUAAAAUAAAUUAAAAAACCACGUUAACUAUAUAAUAAAAAUUUAGAUUUUUUCGUAUAUGCUAUAUUUUGAAUUUUUAAAAACGAAUAUAAAUAACUAAAGUUGUUAAAAAUCUCACAUUGAAAUUUUUGUGAUCCAUGGUUUAAAAUUUAUGUUAUAACAAGAUACAAAUGAUUAUGAAAUUACAGAAAUAAAAAGUCUCAUUUAAUAAAUAGUGUAUAUAUGUAUAUUAAUAUGUGAAAUUGCAUCCCAUAUACAUAACUUUUCCCUUAAUUAACUAAAUACCCUAAAUCCCACAACAUCAUACCUUAGUUGUUAGACACACAACUUGUCACAUCAUGUGUAUUCACCUAAUUUCUAACUUCUUUGUGGUUAUUUAGCUAAUUGACUCUAUUAAUAUUUUUUAAAAAUAAAUUAUAUACCAUAUAAAAAUACAUAAGUAUUUUAAUUUCGAAUUUGCUUUGAUUUUUUUUUGAUAAACAUUUUAUACAAUUAUUGACAACUUAAUAUUUAGAUUUUAAACUUUGCAUUGAAUGUUUCUAAAAUUAUAAAUUGCUAAAACUAUUAAUCAUCACAUAAUUUUUUUUAUUGUUAUCAUUUAUUUAAAAUUUUUGUUAUAAAGAAAUACAAACUAUCAAAAAUAAUAUGAGUAUAAAAUAUUUUUUAACAGAUGUCAAUAUUAAAAAUGUACUUUAUAUCUAUGUUAAUAUCAUGUAAACUUAAUUUUAUAACAUAUAAAAUAGAAAAAGUAUUUUUCUCGAUUAAUAAAAUUUAUUUAAGUAUAUGUACCAACUUAAUUACAUAUGUAAUAGUUACUAAAUUUUUUAUUAUUCAAUAUAUAUUUAUUAUUUCAUAAUAUGUAAAAAAAUAUAUAAUACUUAAAAAUAAUUUGUAUAUAAUAUUCAUCCUAGUAUAUACAUAUAGGUAAAGCAAAAGUGAGAUCAGCAAAUCUUAUCAGCUUUUUUUUUUCAUAAAUAUAUGGUGCUUAUUAGAUUUGCUCUUAUAAGAUUUUAACUCUCUCUAGAAACUCUCUAACUUCUCUCUUAAAACAAAGUUCAUCCUCCUUGCCGGUGUGUGUUUUUUCCGGCGGUGGUGCGCCACCAGUGCCACCGUCGGAAUAGCUUUGGAUUUUUGUUUUGUUUUUGCGUUUUAAGUGUCUAUUUAGUUCCCUCUCCAACAUCGGUGACAAUCGUUUUGCAUCGUCUGGUUGGUUUUUGACUCUGGUGUCAUCACUUUAUACUCCAGUGAGGGCAUCCGGCUCUUGACUCUGAUUUCAACCUUUCUUCAAGGUGAAGUCGGCUUUUCCGAUUGAUUCCAAAUCAAUGGGAUGUCUCUGUUUUUAAGUCUUGGUGGUUUGGUGUUGCGGAUGAGAUCUCGACUUCGGUCGAGCGAAGCUCUCUGUUGUAAGGUGGUUCCGAUGUGUGUGAAGACCUUCUCUGGAAUUAUGGUUGUGAUAUGGAUGAGAUCUCGAUUAGGGACGAUUGACGUUCUUCGAUCGAUGGAUCUGAUGCAAAGAAGGUGUGGGCUUCACAGCUGGUGGUUUCUUUGGGUGUGGUACUGUUCCCGGUUAGGUUCCGGUGGGUUGCCGUGUUUCCGGCGACGACAUGCAAUUUGAUGAAGGCGGUGGAGACUUCCCAACACGUGACCUUUUGUCCUCGUGGUAGGGACGUGUUGUUUUCUCUUGUGCCGUGGGUUUACUUAGGCCAUUGUUGGGCUUUGUUCGUUUUUUUUGGUUUAUGUCGUAGGGUUGUAUGUUGGUUGAAUGUCUUUUAUGUGGGCUUUUUAUAUAUGUAAAAGUACUAUCAAUAAAUAUCAGUGAAAAAAAAAAGAUUUGCUCUUAUAAGGUGGACCAACAGUUUGUUAUAUUUUCUUUUUCCUUUGCCUUUUGUUACCGACACAUGUUAUUGGAGGCAUCGUAUGAUGUUGUCCACGCGCACACAAUAUAAUUAUAUAAACACUACCAAGUCAUCGGC
rnacentral:lncRNA from 1 species